GCCGAGGUAGCAAUGGCGGUCCACGCAGCGCGCUGAAAACGCGACCAUGCUCGUUCGACUCGAGCCCUCGGCA
rnacentral:tRNA from 1 species